GGGUGAGGAAUACGUAGGAAUUUGCCUUAGAGCGGGGGAUAGCCCAGGGAAACUUGGAGUAAUACCGCAUGAUGUCGAAAGACCAAAGCAGGGGACCGCAAGGCCUUGCACUCUGAGAGAAGCCUACGUCUGAUUAGCUAGUUGGUAGGGUAAUGGCCUACCAAGGCGACGAUCAGUAACUGGUCUGAGAGGACGAUCAGUCACACCGGAACUGAGACACGGUCCGGACUCCUACGGGAGGCAGCAGUGGGGAAUAUUGGACAAUGGGCGCAAGCCUGAUCCAGCAAUGCCGCGUGUGUGAAGAAGGCCUUCGGGUUGUAAAGCACUUUAAGCAGGGAAGAAAAAACUCGGACUAAUACUUUGAGUCUUGACGGUACCUGAAGAAUAAGCACCGGCUAACUCUGUGCCAGCAGCCGCGGUAAUACAGAGGGUGCAAGCGUUAAUCGGAUUUACUGGGCGUAAAGCGUGUGUAGGUGGUUUGACAAGUUGGUUGUGAAAUCCCCGGGCUCAACCUGGGAUCUGCUUCCAAGACUGUCAGACUAGAGUACGGUAGAGGGCGGUGGAAUUUCCGGUGUAGCGGUGAAAUGCGUAGAUAUCGGAAGGAACACCAAUGGCGAAGGCAGCCGCCUGGGCCUGUACUGACACUGAGACACGAAAGCGUGGGGAUCAAACAGGAUUAGAUACCCUGGUAGUCCACGCCGUAAACGAUGGGUACUUGACGUCGGCAUGCUCUGCGUGUCGGUGUCGUAGCUAACGCGAUAAGUACCCCGCCUGGGGAGUACGGCCGCAAGGUUGAAACUCAAAGGAAUUGACGGGGGCCCGCACAAGCGGUGGAGUAUGUGGUUUAAUUCGAUGCAACGCGAAGAA
rnacentral:rRNA from 1 species